AUUGAACGCUGGCGGCAGGCCUAACACAUGCAAGUCGAGCGGAGCGGCGGAAGGGGGCGUAAUGGCUAGGAAUCUGCCAGGUAGUGGGGGAGAACGAUCGGAAACGGGAGCUAAUACCGCAUACUAUCAGCAGCGGCUAGGUCGGAUUAGCUAGUGGGUGGGGUAAAGGCCUACCAAGGCGACGAUCCGUAACUGGUCUGAGAGGAUGAGCAGCCACACUGGAACUGAGACACGGUCCAGACUCCUACGGGAGGCAGCAGUGGGGAAUAUUGGACAAUGGGCGAAAGCCUGAUGCAGCCAUGCCGCGUGUGUGAAGAAGGUCUUCGGAUUGUAAAGCACUUUAAGUUGGGAGGCGUUACCCACAGAAUAAGCACCGGCUAACUUCGUGCCAGCCGCCGCGGUAAUUC
rnacentral:rRNA from 1 species